rnacentral:lncRNA from 1 species
GUGGGAGCUGGGAAUGUUUUUGAACUAGUUCUUGAAAAAAAAACUAGUACAAUAGUACAACUGUCUUAAUUUUAUAUAUGAGGAAACUGAGGCCCAGAGAUGAAAUCAUGCCUUGAUUUAUGCAGACCUCAGUACCUGUUCGUGACAAAUCCAGUUACUAAAAGAAAUAACCAUGGAUAUGGGUAGAGACAGAGCCAUAUGGAAUGCACACUGCAGUGGUGAACACAUGGCCCAGCUCUGCCAUCAAGGAGAAGGUGAGAACAUGGGGGAAGAUUUUAUCGAAGUUUCUUUUCUGGGGCAUAUGCUCAGGUUAAACACCUGCUCUGUAUCUCUAGCUUCUGACUCCUACCCCUGGCCAGCUCUGUUACUCUAGUACACUGCUAGGCAGGCAGAGUAUGGCCAAAGUAUUCACAACAGUGCAUCACUAAAUCAACUGGGAUCCACACAAUGGAAUAUCCUAAUGCAUCAUUAAAAAUCACAUUGUAAAAGAAGAUUUUAUAACAGAAAAAAAUGCACUGUAUAUGAUACAUUUUUAAAAUGUUACUUAUGCCAGUCACAAUAAAAGACAAUUACACUUAUAUGGGAUAGAGUAGUCAAUAUUAUAGAGACAGAAGGUAGAAAUGGGUCUGGGUGGAAAUUAGAAUGAGAUGUUCUUAGCAUUCCAGUUUUACAAGAUGAAAAGAGUAACGGAGACAGAUGGCAGUGGUGG